UGGUUAAGGAAAGGUAGAACCGUAGAAGAUUAGACCACAAAAAAUACAAAACAUAAGGAAUCAAAUGUUGAAUACUUCCAUCUACCCUAACUCAUUUCAUGAGACUUGAGAGUUCAGAUUCAGAGUUAGACACCAGUUCAGAUUCAGAGUUAGACACCAAAGCAAACCUUUCUUUACUUAGCUUACUCUUCUCAAUGUUGUCUAUAGCUUCCUUAGGCUUCAACCCGGAAUCUUUUUCUACGUGCAUGAUUACUUACUUAGGAGUUAUAGGAUAUCAUCAACGUGGUGUGUGAAAAAUAUAGACCCACUUUAUUAUAUUUAGUGGUUUCAAAUUUUCGAUUCUUAUUACCAAGCCAACUCUAGCCCCUUUGUUUGAUCCGGAAAUUGAAGAAAACGUAUCAAGGGAAGCAAUUUGGGGGUUCAUUCGAGGACUUUCUUUUUUCUGAAUGAAUAGGAGAGGAGUCAAGAAUCUAAGAAAUAUUUUUGGAGACAGUUGAAGAGAUGAGGCCUAAGUUGGCACCUAAAAUGGUCAUGAAACUUGUAAUUGUGCUCCUGAUUCUGACCCUUAUGAUUACAUCUGCUGCUGCCAAAGGUGGCGGUGGAGGUGGGCAUGGAGGUGGUGGACACGGAGGUAGCGGAGGACAUGAAGGUGGCGGAGCAGAACAAGGUUCAGGAUCACACCAAGAUGGAAACGGUGACAUUGCUGGCAAACCAAAAAUUAUUCCUGUUCAUGGGAAUUCUCGUCCUCAUAAUAGCAAUGAUGCAUCCAACUUAUCAGAUUCAUGGUUCCAUUCGAUACUGUUUUUGUCUGUGAGUUCUUUUUUCUUAUGGUACAUAUGUUUCAUCUAGUCGAGCUUAGUUGCCAACACGACAUUUUGGAGGUACUAUAGGGAUCUAUUUUCCUUUAUUGUUUAUGGUUUCCUAGUCACAUAUAGAUCUUACACUAUUCAAAAGAACAAAUACCAUGUCCUUUCUCAAUUGGAUCACUUGUAUUCCGAAAGGAAUAAUGGAGAAAGAUUUAUCUUA